rfam:Tupaia chinensis contig180913, whole genome shotgun sequence.
AGACUGGUUUUCUUCAAAACCACCAACAAGAAAGUGAAAAGACAACU